GACGAAGGAUGCAAGCGUUAUCCGGAUUCAUUGGGUUUAAAGGGAGCGUAGGCGGCCCUAUAAGUCAGUGGUGAAAUCUCUCGGCUUAACCGAGAAAUUGCCAUUGAUACUGUAGGGCUUGAGUACAGUUGCCGUUGGCGGAAUAUGACGUGUAGUGGUGAAAUACAUAGAGAUGUCAUAGAACACCGAUUGCGAAGGCAGCUAACGAAGCUGUAACUGACGCUGAGGCUCGAAAGUGCGGGGAUCAAACAGG
rnacentral:rRNA from 1 species